rnacentral:lncRNA from 1 species
CCCGAUGACGUCGCCCCUCCGGUGCCGCCCAUUGGUCCGCCGCGCCGGGCCAGGCCACGCCCUCCCCGCCACCGCGGGCCCGCAACACUGGUAGCGUAGCAACCAGACAUCGAUCCCACUUCCCGCCUCGCCGAGGCUUCGACUCCCGUGCCUCUGUCAAUGGAUCGUAUUAGCACGUCGUAGAGCCGUCAGCUUUUCCCUCCCCCUCUCCGCCUCCCGCUUCACCCCCGGACCAUUCCUCGGCCGGCAUUCGUUCACUGCCUCGUACCAAUACUCAUUCUCAAUCUCGCGCGUCGUCAUCGUUAUCAUCGUCACUGUUGUCGAACCCGUAAGCGGUAGCCGUCUCCGUAUCCCCGUACGCCCGUAGCCGUGGUUUCUCCCGAUCCCGGGUCGCCCGUAACCCGCACCGGUCCGCUCCCAGUUCUUCCAGGCUUUUCACUCAUUUCCCGGCUUCAUCUUUGACUUCUCCCGGCUCUCCCCGCUUUUCUCCCCGCCUCCCCCCUUUCCGCUCCCCUCGACGUCUUCUUCCUUCACCUUUCCCUUCAUCCCCCGAUCGUCUUCUCCGGUUCCUUGCCGACCCUCCAAUCCAAUCCACCGGCAACUUGUCCACCACUGUGCGAUGAUGAGUUUCGGAGCGCGGCCACUGGCAGCGCCACCUCUCGACUCGAUUCACUGUGACAGGAAGAGCUCGAGAUGCGCCAGGUUCAAGUCAUCUCGUUGCUUUUCUAACACGUUUUUCUGAACAAUUGAGGACUUUCUCGGUGAAAGGGCGUAUGACACUUGCAAUGCUGCUAAGAAUGUGCAAUUUUUAUGGCAUUUGCAGCAGAUGACAUUCAUUGACAAUCGAUUUUCGUCCGAUUUUCGAAGUUCUAAUCAUACCUCAUAGUCGCCCGCGCAAUGCACUUUUUUUUUUUUUUUUUUUUUUUUUUUUUACUAAACAGAAAAUUGUGAUUUGUGUGUUUUCAUUUAAGGGUUCACUCCGAACCGAAGGAAAAUAAACUCUUGCGAUCUUCCUGAAUUUAUUAUUCGCAGAUGUUAGAGCUUAAUGAAUGUUUUCGAACUUUUCUAUAAUUGAAAUAGAAAAAAAAUUUGAGCUCCUUGGAAUCAUAAGAAAAUCUCCCCCCCCCUCCUCCCGAAAAAUCGUUG